rnacentral:rRNA from 1 species
CAGUCGAGCGAGUCUGCCUUGAAGAUCGGAGUGCUUGCACUCUGUGAAACAAGAUACAGGCUAGCGGCGGACGGGUGAGUAACACGUGGGUAACCUGCCCAAGAGAUCGGGAUAACACCUGGAAACAGAUGCUAAUACCGGAUAACAACAGAUGAUGCCUAUCAACUGUUUAAAAGAUGGUUCUGCUAUCACUCUUGGAUGGACCUGCGGUGCAUUAGCUAGUUGGUAGGGUAACGGCCUACCAAGGCGAUGAUGCAUAGCCGAGUUGAGAGACUGAUCGGCCACAUUGGGACUGAGACACGGCCCAAACUCCUACGGGAGGCAGCAGUAGGGAAUCUUCCACAAUGGACGCAAGUCUGAUGGAGCAACGCCGCGUGAGUGAAGAAGGGUUUCGGCUCGUAAAGCUCUGUUGUUGGUGAAGAAGGACAGGGGUAGUAACUGACCUUUGUUUGACGGUAAUCAAUUAGAAAGUCACGGCUAACUACGUGCCAGCAGCCGCGGUAAUACGUAGGUGGCAAGCGUUGUCCGGGUUUAUUGGGCGUAAAGCGAGUGCAGGCGGUUCGAUAAGUCUGAUGUGAAAGCCUUCGGCUCAACCGGAGAAUUGCAUCAGAAACUGUCGAGCUUGAGUACAGAAGAGGAGAGUGGAACUCCAUGUGUAGCGGUGAAAUG